CAGAGACGGCGCACGUUUCCCUCGCAGAUCUCGCGAUUCGUAGAGCCAUAGGCGUCGUUGGACCAAAAAAAGUCUGUUCACCGUGUUAAGGGUGGGAGGUGAGACCAUGUAAGAAUAUCAAACGCAUUGACGUCUUACGCAGCAAGGAAGGUAUGAAGAAAAGAAUUGAAUAAAGCGUAAUACUACGGAGAAUCAUAUCAGAAUUCCGAAGGGGCCUCGAAUGCGCGACACGUGCGACUUCGAAUUAGAAAAAGUAAACACACGUUCGGCCAGGUGGCGCGGAAUGUCGUUGCUACAUCGAUGAGCAGUUUUACGCGCACAGAAAUACACGUUUCCUCGUAAAGAUAGAAGACGUAUCGGUAUACAAUAAUGUUUCGGAAGAUUGUUGCUGAUAUUCGUGAACUUGGGAGUGGUCGUUCGCGUCAGCUUUGUCAAGCUGGAGGGUUCAAGUAUAAAAGAUCACGUUCACAAAACGAUCAGGAUUCGCAUGCAUUGGACCAAGCGCCAUAGGCGAUGUUGCGGAUAAUGUCGGUCCCACGGAGCGCAGCUGCAUUUUCGUAAGAUCCCCUCCCCGUGCAAUCAAUCUGUUCCAUCUAUCCUUUCUUUUUUCCCCGCUAAGUAAACGGACGCCCUGGAACGGCACGUUCCCAGACUACCGUCUCGACUACUACGCAGAGACGCAACGGCGCCACGGAGACGCACUCCUUCGAUCGGAUUCCUGGCCUCCACUUACGUUGCAGGAAUUCCUCCUAUCUCCUUUGCGUCCUCCUCCGUUGCAGUUUCCUCCAUCCCCUCAUUCGAGGAACGACCCGGCUCUGAAAUUCGCUGGCCGGCCAGCGAGCCCUAGAAAAUGCAUGGCUGGCUUAAUUGCCGUUUCAGACCGAAUUCAUCCACGAAUCCAUUCGUUCGGCUACCUAAUCGGACAAAGAUUUCCCUUCUUCCUUCCUUUUUUGCGCCUGUUCUUUUCUUCCUUUUCUUCUUUUCGACUGUUCCAGCCAACUAUUCGAGGGAGAGCUAUAUAUAGCGUUUCUUGGGUUUUUGGGGGUGGAUGGUGAAAGAGAUAUUAUUCGAGGAGAUGUAAUUUGUACAGAUGUAAUUUGAUGUCGUUUAAUUAGAAGAUUAUAAGGUAAUAAAAUAAUUAUAAAAUUAUGGAAGGAUUAGGAUGAUGAAUGUAUUGUUUAUUGUUGCUAUAUUACAUGUCAAUAAAAUAUAAUUAGUUUUAAAAAAGAGAAAAAAUAAAAUUUGAAAU